UACGGGAGGCAGCAGUGGGGAAUAUUGGGCAAUGGGGGAAACCCUGACCCAGCAACGCCGCGUGAGGGAAGAAGGUUUUCGGAUCGUAAACCUCUGUCCCAGGUGAAGAGGAAGAGACGGUAGCCUGGGAGGAAGCCCCGGCUAACUACGUGCCUUGCAGCCGCGGUAAU
rnacentral:rRNA from 1 species